GACGAACGCUGGCGGCGUGCUUAACACAUGCAAGUCGAACGGAAAGGCCCUGCUUUUGUGGGGUGCUCGAGUGGCGAACGGGUGAGUAACACGUGAGUAACCUGCCCUUGACUUUGGGAUAACUUCAGGAAACUGGGGCUAAUACCGGAUAGGAGCUCCUGCUGCAUGGUGGGGGUUGGAAAGUUUCGGCGGUUGGGGAUGGACUCGCGGCUUAUCAGCUUGUUGGUGGGGUAGUGGCUGACCAAGGCUUUGACGGGUAGCCGGCCUGAGAGGGUGACCGGCCACAUUGGGCCUGAGAUACGGCCCAGAAUCCUACGGGAGGCAGCGGGGGGGAAUAUUGCACAAUGGGCGGAAGCCUGAUGCAGCAACGCCGCGUGCGGGAUGACGGCCUUCGGGUUGUAAACCGCUUUCGCCUGUGACGAAGCGUGAGUGACGGUAAUGGGUAAAGAAGCACCGGCUAACUACGUG
rnacentral:rRNA from 1 species